rnacentral:rRNA from 1 species
UACCCUUUGGCCUGGAAUAACACGAGGAAACUUGUGCUAAUACCGGAUAAGUCUUUACGGAGAAAGCUUUAUGCACCAUUGGAUGAGCCCGCACUUGAUUAGUUUGUUGGUAGGGUAAUGGCCUACCAAGACUAUGAUCAAUAGCUGAUUUGAGAGGAUGAUCAGCCACAUUGGGACUGAGACACGGCCCAAACUCCUACGGGAGGCAGCAGUGGGGAAUCUUGCACAAUGGAGGAAACUCUGAUGCAGCGAUGCCGCGUGAGUGAAGAAGGCCUUUGGGUUGUAAAGCUCUUUCGUCGGGGAAGAAAAUGACUGUACCCGAAUAAGAAGGUCCGGCUAACUUCGUGCCAGCAGCCGCGGUAAUACGAAGGGACCUAGCGUAGUUCGGAAUUACUGGGCUUAAAGAGUUCGUAGGUGGUUGAAAAAGUUGGUGGUGAAAUCCCAGAGCUUAACUCUGGAACUGCCAUCAAAACUUUUCAGCUAGAGUAUGAUAGAGG